AUGAACGCUAGCUACAGGCUUAACACAUGCAAGUCGAGGGGCAGCAUUUCAGUUUGCUUGCAAACUGGAGAUGGCGACCGGCGCACGGGUGAGUAACACGUAUCCAACCUGCCGAUAACUCGGGGAUAGCCUUUCGAAAGAAAGAUUAAUACCCGAUGGUAUAAUCAGACCGCAUGGUCUUGUUAUUAAAGAAUUUCGGUUAUCGAUGGGGAUGCGUUCCAUUAGGCAGUUGGUGAGGUAACGGCUCACCAAACCUUCGAUGGAUAGGGGUUCUGAGAGGAAGGUCCCCCACAUUGGAACUGAGACACGGUCCAAACUCCUACGGGAGGCAGCAGUGAGGAAUAUUGGUCAAUGGGCGCAGGCCUGAACCAGCCAAGUAGCGUGAAGGAUGACUGCCCUAUGGGUUGUAAACUUCUUUUAUAUGGGAAUAAAGUUUUCCACGUGUGGAAUUUUGUAUGUACCAUAUGAAUAAGGAUCGGCUAACUCCGUGCCAGCAGCCGCGGUAAUACGGAGGAUCCGAGCGUUAUCCGGAUUUAUUGGGUUUAAAGGGAGCGUAGGUGGACAGUUAAGUCAGUUGUGAAAGUUUGCGGCUCAACCGUAAAAUUGCAGUUGAUACUGGCUGUCUUGAGUACAGUAGAGGUGGGCGGAAUUCGUGGUGUAGCGGUGAAAUGCUUAGAUAUCACGAAGAACUCCGAUUGCGAAGGCAGCUCACUGGACUGCAACUGACACUGAUGCUCGAAAGUGUGGGUAUCAAACAGGAUUAGAUACCCUGGUAGUCCACACAGUAAACGAUGAAUACUCGCUGUUUGCGAUAUACAGUAAGCGGCCAAGCGAAAGCAUUAAGUAUUCCACCUGGGGAGUACGCCGGCAACGGUGAAACUCAAAGGAAUUGACGGGGGCCCGCACAAGCGGAGGAACAUGUGGUUUAAUUCGAUGAUACGCGAGGAACCUUACCCGGGCUUAAAUUGCAUUUGAAUAUAUUGGAAACAGUAUAGCCGUAAGACAAAUGUGAAGGUGCUGCAUGGUUGUCGUCAGCUCGUGCCGUGAGGUGUCGGCUUAAGUGCCAUAACGAGCGCAACCCUUAUCUUUAGUUACUAACAGGUCAUGCUGAGGACUCUAGAGAGACUGCCGUCGUAAGAUGUGAGGAAGGUGGGGAUGACGUCAAAUCAGCACGGCCCUUACGUCCGGGGCUACACACGUGUUACAAUGGGGGGUACAGAAGGCAGCUACCUGGUGACAGGAUGCUAAUCCCAAAAGCCUCUCUCAGUUCGGAUCGAAGUCUGCAACCCGACUUCGUGAAGCUGGAUUCGCUAGUAAUCGCGCAUCAGCCAUGGCGCGAUGAAUACGUUCCCGGGCCUUGUACACACCGCCCGUCAAGCCAUGAAAGCCGGGGGUACCUGAAGUACGUAACCGCAAGGAGCGUCCUAGGGUAAAACUGGUAAUUGGGGCU
rnacentral:rRNA from 1 species